CGUUUCCUGAAGCUGCACAAAAUGUACCAAGCAGCAGCAUUCACAGGCCUGGCAAAGCUGGAAGGAGCCAGACAUCGGCAGUGCCACAGAGCUGGCUUCUCCUCAGCAAUCGCAGCAUCCCUUGGUCCCAGGGGAAAGCUGAUGGGCAGCCAAGCCAAUGAGUACCUGAUUUUGUCUUUACCUGAUCCUGUAGAAGAGCAGCACAGGCUGAGCAGCAGUGCUUGGCUUGGCUUGAACUGGAAGGAGGAGCCACGUGCAAUAAGCACUGCCUUUCACACGAGAAUCUGAAAUGGCAGCAUUUCCAGCAGCUGUGUUUGCUUUGAAAUGUACUGUAAACAGGCUAGCUAGUUGCUGAAUAAAUCUUACCCUAUCUAAAUACUACAGCUCCUGAUGAGGUGGAAGAAUGGCGAGCCCUUGGAGAGUUGUUUGGACUUUCCUUCUCUGGUUAUCCUGGCCUAGUCCCAAUGUUCUUGCUUCUCUUUGGAAGUGUGAAUAUUGACUGUCAUGGAAAUGGCCAACCGAAAUGCAACUGGAAUAUAUGCGCUGGUGAGCCAAGGCAUGUCCUUCUGCAUGGCCUGGAAAAUCUCUAGCACCAUUGAUGACAUGACCAUAAAGCCAGUGAGAGGAGACAGGAACUGCCAUGCACCUCUGGAGUAUUUCACAAUGAUCAGCUCCAAGCAAAGCCCUCCCUUGCAGAGACCUAAGUGCCUGUGCCCAUUGGAAGACAACCUGACUGAUCUGGAAACAUUGGAUUCCCCUGAGUUUCACUUUGAAGGUGAAGAGGAUCAGGCCUGCAACAAAAAUCCCAUGAACAGAGAAACAGAAUUAUUAAAUGUGAGACGGUCCAACAUAUAUGCAAGAAGGAUCCCGUAAUGGCAGUAGUUUGGAG
rnacentral:lncRNA from 1 species